UACGGGGGGAGCAAGCGUUGUUCGGAUUUACUGGGCGUAAAGGGCGCGUAGGCGGUCACGACAAGUCAGUUGUGAAAUCUCCGGGCUUAACUCGGAACGGUCAACUGAUACUGUCGGACUAGAGUGCAGAAGGGGCAACUGGAAUUCUCGGUGUAGCGGUGAAAUGCGUAGAUAUCGAGAGGAACACCAAUGGCGAAAGCAGCUUUCUGGGACGGUACUGACGCUGAGGAGCGAAAGCGUGGGGAGCGAACCGG
rnacentral:rRNA from 1 species